CCUACGGGAGGCUGCAGUGAGGAAUAUUGGUCAAUGGUCGGGAGACUGAACCAGCCAAGCCGCGUGAGGGAUGAAGGUACAGAGUAUCGUAAACCUCUUUUGUCAGGGAACAAAGGCGGGGACGUGUCCCCGGAGGAGUGUACCUGAAGAAAAAGCAUCGGCUAACUCCGUGCCAGAAGCCGCGGUAAUACGGAGGAUGCGAGCGUUAUCCGGAUUUAAUGGGUUUAAAGGGUGCGCAGGCGGUCUGUUAAGUGAGCGGUAAAAGCACGGGGCUCAACCCGGGCCCGCCGUUGAAACUGGGAGUCUCGAGUUGGAGAGAAGUAUGCGGAAUGCGCGGUGUAGCGGUGAAAUGCAUAGAUAUCGCGCAGAACUCCGAUUGCGAAGGCAGCAUGCCGGCUCCAGACUGACGCUGAGGCACGAAAGCGUGGGUAUCGAACAGGAUUAGAUACCCGAGUAGUC
rnacentral:rRNA from 1 species